rnacentral:rRNA from 1 species
CACCUACGGGUGGCAGCAGUCGAGAAUAAUUCGCAAUGGACGAAAGUCUGACGAUGCGACGCCGCGUGAGCGAUGAAGGCCUUCGGGUUGUAAAGCUCUGUCGCCUUGGAGCAAGAGUAGGAGGGUAAUAUCUUCCUACGAUGAGAGUACAAGGAAAGGAAGCACCGGCUAAUUCCGCGCCAGCAGCUGCGGUAAUACGGAAGGUGCAAGCGUUAGUCGGAAUUAUUGGGCGUAAAGGGUGCGUAGGCGGCAUUCUAAGUUGGUUAUGAAAUUCUGUGGGCUCAACCCCAGACCUAUAACCAAAACUGGAAUGCUUGAGGGAUGGCGGAGAAAACGGAAUUCCAUGUGUAGCGGUGAAAUGCGUAGAUAUAUGGAAGAACACCUGUGGCGAAAGCGGUUUUCUAGCCUAGUCCUGACGCUAAGGCACGAAAGCAAGGGGAGCAAACAGGAUUAGAUACCCUGGUAGUCCUUGCUGUAAACAAUGUACACUUGAUGUAGUUGGGCUCAACCCUGACUGUGUCGUAGCUAACGCGAUAAGUGUACCGCCUGGGGAGUACGCUCGCAAGGGUGAAACUCAAAAGAAUUGACGGGGACCCGCACAAGCAGUGGAGUAUGUGGU